rnacentral:tRNA from 1 species
GGUUCUGUAUUCAAAUAAUGAUUUUAAAUUGCAAAUUUAAAGGUGAGUGUAAUUCCAGAACUU